GAUGAACGCUGGCGGCGUGCCUAAUACAUGCAAGUCGAGCGAACAGACGAGGAGCUUGCUCCUCUGACGUUAGCGGCGGACGGGUGAGUAACACGUGGAUAACCUACCUAUAAGACUGGGAUAACUUCGGGAAACCGGAGCUAAUACCGGAUAAUAUAUUGAACCGCAUGGUUCAAUAGUGAAAGACGGUUUUGCUGUCACUUAUAGAUGGAUCCGCGCCACAUUAGCUAGUUGGUAAGGUAACGGCUUACCAAGGCAACGAUGCGUAGCCGACCUGAGAGGGUGAUCGUCCACACUGGAACUGAGACACGGUCCAGACUCCUACGGGAGGCAGCAGUAGGGAAUCUUCCGCAAUGGGCGAAAGCUUGACGGAGCAACGCCGCGUGAGUGAUGAAGGUCUUCGGAUCGUAAAACUCUGUUAUUAGGGAAGAACAAAUGUGUAAGUAACUAUGCACGUCUUGACGGUACCUAAUCAGAAAGCCACGGCUAACUACGUG
rnacentral:rRNA from 1 species